GCGAACGCUGGCGGCAGGCUUAACACAUGCAAGUCGAGCGGGCAUCCUUGUGGUGUCCGCGGCAGACGGGUGAGUAACGCGUGGGAACGUGCCCUUCGGUUCGGAAUAACUCAGGGAAACUUGAGCUAAUACCGGAUACGCCCUUUUGGGGAAAGGUUUACUGCCGAAGGAUCGGCCCGCGUCUGAUUAGCUAGUUGGUGAGGUUAUGGCUCACCAAGGCGACGAUCAGUAGCUGGUCUGAGAGGAUGAUCAGCCACACUGGGACUGAGACACGGCCCAGACUCCUACGGGAGGCAGCAGUGGGGAAUAUUGGACAAUGGGGGCAACCCUGAUCCAGCCAUGCCGCGUGAGUGAUGACGGCCUUAGGGUUGUAAAGCUCUUUUCUCCGGGACGAUAAUGACGGUACCGGAGGAAUAAGCCCCGGCUAACUUCGUG
rnacentral:rRNA from 1 species